AUUGAACGCUGGCGGCAGGCUUAACACAUGCAAGUCGAGCGGGGGAAGGUAGCUUGCUACCGGACCUAGCGGCGGACGGGUGAGUAAUGCUUAGGAAUCUGCCUAUUGGUGGGGGACAACAUCUCGAAGGGAUGCUAAUACCGCAUACGUCCUACGGGAGAAAGCAGGGGAUCUUCGGACCUUGCGCUAAUAGAUGAGCCUAAGUCGGAUUAGCUAGUUGGUGGGGUAAAGGCCUACCAAGGCGACGAUCUGUAGCGGGUCUGAGAGGAUGAUCCGCCACACUGGGACUGCGACACGGCCCAGACUCCUACGGGAGGCAGCAGUGGGGAAUAUUGGACAAUGGGGGGAACCCUGAUCCAGCCAUGCCGCGUGUGUGAAGAAGGCCUUAUGGUUGUAAAGCACUUUAAGCGAGGAGGAGGCUACUUUAGUUAUUACCUAGAGGUAGUGGACGUUACUCGCAGAAUGAGCACCGGCUAACUCUGUGCCAGCCGCCGCCGUAA
rnacentral:rRNA from 1 species